rnacentral:lncRNA from 1 species
AAGGGUGCGGGACCCCGCAGAGCAGAGCACGGGUGGCGGGGGGGAAGGAGCCGGAGGGGCGUGGCUACAGUGACGAACUUGACAGCGGUCCACAGCAGGGGCGGGAGACCCGCGCGGAUCUGGAGCGCUAGGGUGGGGCCACGGCGGAUCAUACUCCCCGCGGGCCGCAAGAAGGUAGGAAGUUCUGCGGCCAGACUCCUCAGCUCGCUGAGAGAAAUGGAGGUAUCCUGUAGGACACGCUCUCCUCUAGGUGCCUGGUUGAUUCCAAGAACCACAAGACACAUCUCCACUGAAAAAACAAAAUGGUGACAUUAUAAAGCACUGGCCAACUAUUUUUGAACUACUCACUAGAAAAAGUAAUAUUCAGCAUCAUAUAUGUUCUACUCUGCAUGCCCUAAGACUACAAUAAUAUCAGGUAUAGUUAAUAAAGCUAAUUAAUAAAUUACACAUUAGAGUUAAUAGAAUUCCAAACUCAAAUAGACCUUAAUGAUAAUUUGGUCCAAUCCCUGUAAAUAACAAAUGAACGUGAGCAUAAGAGUUUAAGUAGCACAUACCAGGUCAAGGUGCUGAUGGCCAUUUAAAAUUACAACACGGUUGAUUUCAUGCCUGUCUUUUCUUCUUUAAAUGCUGACAAGACUUGUCACUAAAACUGCUAGCUUUUGUUCAAACAGCAAUUGCUUCUAUUCCAUGGAAGAGUUCCCCUGUGGGGCAGCUGGUUAAAACUCCUACGUUGUCACUGCAGCGGCUUGGGUCACAUCUGUGGCGCUUGUUCAAUCCCUGGCAGGGGAGCAUGCCACAGGCCUAGCCAAGAAAAGAAAGAAGAAAUGCAUGUGAUGUGUCUACCAGAGACUUAAGAAUUUAGAGCUCAACAAGUGAUAAUUACAGUAAUCUGCUCAUUAAUUUAAAAACAUUUAAAGUUCCCUCACUACUGUGGAUGCAUAAAAUAAUCUUCAGUAUUUACUUAGGAGAGUAAAGAAGGAACCCCCCUUAAACACUUCAGAACCACUAGUACCAGGAACUAAAUUCCUGGUC